rnacentral:rRNA from 1 species
UGGGAGCUCUCCCNUAUGGUCGACCUGCAGGCGGCCGCGAAUUCACUAGUGAUUAGAGUUUGAUCCUGGCUCAGGACGAACGCUGGCGGUAUGCUUAACACAUGCAAGUCGAACGAGAAGAUCAGUUAAGAACCUUCGGGGGAAUAAGUGAUUGGAAAGUGGCGAACGGGUGAGUAACGCGUGGGUAACCUGCCCUAUGGAAAGGAAUAGCCUCGGGAAACUGGGAGUAAAGCCUUAUAUUAUGGAGAGAUCGCAUGGUCAUUUCAUGAAAACUCCGGUGCCAUAGGAUGGACCCGCGUCCCAUUAGCUAGUUGGUGAGAUAACAGCCCACCAAGGCGACGAUGGGUAACCGGUCUGAGAGGGCGAACGGUCACACUGGAACUGAGACACGGUCCAGACUCCUACGGGAGGCAGCAGUGGGGAAUAUUGCGCAAUGGGGGCAACCCUGACGCAGCAAUACCGCGUGAGUGAAGAAGGUUUUCGGAUCGUAAAGCUCUGUUAUUGGGGAAGAAAACAUGACGGUACCCAAUGAGGAAGUCCCGGCUAACUACGUGCCAGCAGCCGCGGUAAUACGUAGGGGACAAGCGUUGUCCGGAAUGACUGGGCGUAAAGGGCGCGUANGCGGUCUGAUAAGUCAAAUGUGAAAGGUACCGGCUCANCCGGUGACNNUGCAUUUGAAACUGUCAGACUUGAGUAUUGNAGAGGCAAGUGGAAUUCCUAGUGUAGCGGUGAAAUGNNNAGAUNUUNNGANGAACACCA